rnacentral:rRNA from 1 species
UACGGGGGGGGCAAGCGUUGUUCGGAAUUACUGGGCGUAAAGGGCUCGUAGGUGGCCAACUAAGUCAGACGUGAAAUCCCUCGGCUUAACCGGGGAACUGCGUCUGAUACUGGAUGGCUUGAGAUUGGGAGAGGGAUGCGGAAUUCCAGGUGUAGCGGUGAAAUGCGUAGAUAUCGUGAGGAACACCAGAGGCGAAGGCGGUUACCUGGACAGUUACUGACGCUCAGGCACGAAAGCAUGGGGAGCAAAAGGG